UGGGGAAUAUUGCACAAUGGGGGAAACCCUGAUGCAGCGACGCCGCGUGAGUGAAGAAGUAUUUCGGUAUGUAAAGCUCUAUCAGCAGGGAAGAAAAUGACGGUACCUGACUAAGAAGCCCCGGCUAACUACGUGCCAGCAGCCGCGGUAAUACGUAGGGGGCAAGCGUUAUCCGGAUUUACUGGGUGUAAAGGGAGCGUAGACGGCUGUGCAAGUCUGAUGUGAAAGGUAGGGGCUCAACUCCUGGACUGCAUUGGAAACUGUGUAGCUUGAGUGCCGGAGAGGUAAGCGGAAUUCCUAGUGUAGCGGUGAAAUGCGUAGAUAUUAGGAGGAACACCAGUGGCGAAGGCGGCUUACUGGACGGUAACUGACGUUGAGGCUCGAAAGCGUGGGGAGCAAACAGGAUUAGAUACCC
rnacentral:rRNA from 1 species